rnacentral:rRNA from 1 species
UAAAGUGGCGUACGGGUGAGUAACACGUGGAUCAUCUACCCUGGAGUGGGGAAUAACGCUGGGAAACCGGCGCUAAUACCGCAUAAUCCCGAGAGGGCAAAGGAGCAAUUCGCUUCAGGAGGAGUCCGCGGCCGAUUAGCUAGUUGGCAGGGUAAAAGCCUACCAAGGCAACGAUCGGUAGCCGGCCUGAGAGGGCACACGGCCACACUGGCACUGAAACACGAGCCAG